ACUUUAAUUGAAAUUGAUAGUUAUAAAGUAUAAAUUUGAUGAUAUAAUCUGGUUGUGUAGGGAGGGUGCUCAUCAGUUCCCAAGAGAAAGACUUGCAAUGUUGGGAGAGUUGAAGUUUAAAUAUGUUGAGGAGGAAGAGCCAGAGGAAUUCUUUAUUCCAUAUGUCUGGGGGCUUACUUCGAAAUUCAUGUUUUGGAACGAGAAGCUGAUGAAACUCUGAUCUUCCUGAAAGAACUUUGUGAUAUUUUUAAAAUUUAUUUAAAUUCAAUAU